rnacentral:lncRNA from 1 species
ACGAAAUCAAUCAAUUCAACUGUAUUCACCAUACAAAUUCUACAAUAGAGGACGAGAACCAAGGCAAUUUCACUGAUUCAGGAGAACUCGUUCACAACUGGGCCGAAUUGACUCGCGAAUGCCUCAUCAACAUCCUAUCGCGCCUCUCUUUGGAAGACCGAUGGCUGGGAGCAAUGCUGGUGUGCAAGGCGUGGUUGCAGGUAUGCAUAGAUCCGUGCCUCAGCUCCGUGUUCGAUCUCGCGACUCACUUCGACUCGGUCACUGAUUUACCUAGAUUCUGGACCCCCGAGUUUGAGAGCAGGAUUGAUAACAUGAUUGGAUCAGUCGUCGGUUGGAGCGGUGGGUCCCUUACCGAAAUCCGUGGUAGAGACUGCUCGGAUCGCUCCCUCUCUUUGGUUGCUUGAAGGUAUUUUUGUUUGUUUGCCUGGUGUGCCCACUCAUUCGUUCUUUGUUCCUUUAAUUUGCACUGCUGGUUUGGGUUGAGUUGGAACUGUUUGACCUGAUACGAAACUACUGCUGUUAUUUUCUUUAAUGUUUAUAAAUAUGUAGUUAGUUAGUGGUCAAAUUGAUUUAUGUGGAUUAUUGAGAAGGUUUCUUUAAUUUUUUUUAAAAUAAUUUUAGUGGACUUUGAUUUUUGACAUCAGUGAUUUUUGGUGAAUUUGGUGACUUGUUGCAAUUAUAUAUAUUUGGUUCAAGUUUAUUGGUUUCAGCCAUGGACUAAUUUACAAGGCUUCAUUCAUAUGAUCGUUUCUCAUUAUAUUUGGUGUGGAUUGAAGCUUAAGAUUGCUAAUAGGAUAGCAUCGGGGCACCAAGAGAUUUAUUUUUGCCUUUUUAUAUCCUUUGGAUAUGGUAAGGAUAAACUUCAAUCGAGCUGUAACCUGCACUUCUAUUUUCUCAAAUUCAUCCCUGACCUCUCAAAAAUUUGAAUGAAGUCUUUUCUUCUUCAUAGUUGCAAAACAAAAACUAUGCUGUCACGAUUGCCCCACUACCCUUUUCUUGUACUUGAAACCGUGAUUUCAUCUUCUUUCAAGUAGUAAGUCUUUAAGUGGUGAAGAUUAUUAAUUAAACUAGAAAGAAAUAUUUGAUAUAUUUCAGGACUUUCUUUUUCCAUUGAGAAAAGCCACAAAGAUUUUCGACAGAAACAAGUUCCCAUAAUUCCAGUUGUUAUUGUUCAAUAGGAAAUGUAAUUCAUCGAACCGUACAAUGGGUUUUGAUGGAAUUAAGAGCUGAUAAUGAGAUCAUAUAUCUUUCGUAACUUCUGAUUAACAAAGAAGGUGAAAGAAUUGAUACUUCAAAUCUGAAAAUAAUUUCUGAAUUUCAAAAAACUUGGAAGGGGUUCCAGGGUUUUGACAGGCUUGGCUUGGGGUUUGGGGGAUAUGACUAUUUCAUUUCUUUCUAGCUCUUGUCUAAUGUAUUCCAUCUCAUGGUGUUACCUACCACGUCAAAUUCCGUAUCUUACUCAAGCGAGUCACUAGUGUAAGAAUCCAACCCCAUGGAGGUUGACGUAUUACAAUUUAUAGUGAGUUGUCUUAAGUCACCAUUGACUGUUAGCAAUUGUAAUUAACUCAUGAUUUGUAAUCGUGCACAGAGCAUCUCUCCAUAGGCAGUAUAUGGGUUAAGCUCAUGUUAGCAAUGUGAUGAAACAUGUUUUUCCCUGUUAAAAACUCGUACUGUGGUUCCUGUUUUGUUGAUUUACUUGCAUUUUCAUUCUGUUACCGAAUUUGAGUAUUUACCAAUAACCAAAAAUGUGACUGGAGAGUUAUAUGGAAACCAAAAAUAAAAAAUAAAAUAGCUGCAUUCCAGCCAAUUCUUAUUAUCUCAAUUCUAACACUAGCUUAAUGCAUCCAACGAUUUUCUUUGCAUGUUAUAAUAUAUGAUCGUAUUGCUCUUGCAGGUGUCCAUAUAUUCAAGUUCUCUCUAUCAAGAGUUGUCCUCGUGUCUCUGACGUAAUUAUGGUAGAAAUAGCUUUUGAGUGUUCCAAGCUUAAGGAGCUCGAUAUCGGCUAUUGUUAUCGAAUAUCUCACAAAUCUUUGGUAUUAGGAUUGAUCGAAAAAGCUGAAUAUUUCCACUAUGUAACUUGUUAAUACUGUUAAUAACCUUAACAGUAUAUUGCAGUGUAUUUCCCCAAUUCAAGGGAUGUGUAUAUAGGUAGUUAGACACGUGUUAUCAGCUGAUAGGAAAAUCUGGAAUAUUCUAUGUGUAUGUAAAAUGUAUGUAUUACAAUUCUGUGAAUAAAUAGAGGAGAAAAGGAUGAGCUAUUGUACCGAGAAAACUUUUCCAAAAAUACAGAGUUUAGUGAUAUUUUUUAACUUGGUAUCAGAGCUUCUUAUGGCUAACAUCGAUUCAGGUAAACAGUCUCCUCCAAGCGAGUCGAGCACUACAGCAGUUGUUCAGUCUCCUAUAAACCACACUUCACCUUUUGGGAUGAACAUCAUCCAAACUCCGAUGGUGAAGCUGGACAGAGAAAAUUAUUUGUUAUGGCAAAACAUGGUUAUGCCCAUAAUUAGAGGACAUAAUCUUGAAGGAUUCCUGCUGGGUACGAAACCAUGUCCACCACAACUUUUAGAAACUCAGAUUGUUACUGAGAAAGGAGAAGCUACAGAGAUGGUUCCAAAUCCUGAGUACAGCAAAUGGGUUUCAACUGAUCAACUAUUAAUGGGAUGGUUGUAUUCAUUCAUGACCCCUGAAAUUGCAAGGAGAGUGAUAGGGUGCACCAGCUCCAGUAAAUUAUGGAGUGCAAUCAAGGAAAGUUAUGGGAUAAUGAAUAGAUCCAAAAUCAUUUUUCUCACUGGAGAGUUGCAAAGAACAAGAAAAGGAUCCAUGUCCAUGGAUCAGUACCUUACAACAAUCAAACAACUGGCAGAUAACUUACAGAUUGCUAGAAAAACCAUAGGCUCAGGUGAUUUGAUAACCCAAGUUCUAUCCGGACUGGAUGAAGAAUACACACCCAUUGUGGUGCAACUAAAUUGCAAGGAAGAUAUAUCAUGGCAUGAACUCUCUUCUGUUCUUUUAACCUUUGAAAGCAGGCUUGAAUACCUCAAUCAAGUUAAGAAUAGUUUUGGGACAAUGAGCAUUUAUCAAUCAGGAGUGCAAAGGACAGGAUCUGGUGGUGGUAGAAACUUUAGACCACAUAGUAAUGGAAGGUUUUCUAAUUUCAGGGGAAGAACAAGAGGCAGAGGUAGAGCAAGAAGAAUGAAUGAAAAUCGAGGACCUUGUCAAAUCUGUGGGAUGAAUAAUCAUUCAGCUAGAUGGUGUUUCAACAGAUAUGAUGAUAGGUAUAUGGGCAGCAAACCAGGUAACCAGAAGGCACAGAACAACUCACCUUCUGCGUAUGUGGCUAUACCAAGCACCGUGGAGGACCCAGCAUGGUUUGCAGACUCUAGAGCAAGCAACCAUGUCACUGAUGACAAAGAUAAUUUGGAUACUAUAAGAAAACAUGGAGGUAAGGAAAAAUUGCUUGUUGGUAAUGGGAAUUCUUUGCAUAUUGCUAAUGUUGGCAGAAGGAAUUUUCUUACAUUGAGUGAUAAGACCCUUACAUUGAAUAAAUUACUUCAUGUGCCUGCAAUUGAGAAGAAUUUGAUAAGUGUUUCUCAAUUGACAAAUGACAAUAAUGUAUUUAUGGAAUUUUAUCCUAAUUAUUGUGUUGUUAAGGAUCUGCAAACGAAGGAGGUCUUGUUGCAAGGGAUGCUUAAAGAUGGAUUGUAUUAGCUAAAACUACCAAACUCCAAGCCUAGAGUCACCAUCACAGAGUCAAGCUAUCAAAAUAAUCCUAACCUUGCAGUCUUCUCAGUAAACUCAAGGGGUGAAGAGUCAACCAAAAGUGUUAAGUUCGAGUUAGAUACCUGGCAUAGAAGGCUAGGUCACCCCUCAAGUCCUGUAUUGAGUCAAGUCCUUAAGUCUUGUAAUAAAAUAGCCAAAGUUAAUGAAAGUCCAGAUUUCUGUAAAGCUUGUCAAUUUGGUAAAUUUCAUGCUUUGCCUUUUACUAAGUCUUCAACAAAUGCAUCAAAACCAUUAGAUCUCAUACAUACCGAUGUCUGGGGACCAGCACCAAAGAUUUCUAACUCGGGGUCUAGGUACUAUAUCCUAUUUGUUGAUGACCAUAGCAGGUUUACAUGGAUCUAUCCAAUGAAAUACAAAUCAGAAGCCUUAAAUAUCUUCACUCAAUUCAAGAAACUAGUAGAAAACACUCUUGAAAGAAAGAUUAAAAUAUUACAAGCAGAUUGGGGAAGUGAAUUUAGAACCUUUGACAAGAUUGCUUCAGAAUCAGGCAUUGAACUUAGCUAUUCCUGCCCUUACACCUCUGCACAAAACGGUAGAGCAGAAAGGAAGCAUAGACAUAUCAUCGAAACUGGUUUGACACUAUUAGCCCAAGCACAAAUGCCAUUACAUUAUUGGUGGGAAUCUUUUAAAACAGCAACCUACUUAAUAAAUAGACUACCUGCUCCUAUACUUCAAAACAAAUCCCCUUUUCAAAUCCUAUAUGGAAGAAACUUUGAUCAUAAGAAACUAAAAAUCUUUGGUUGUGCUUGUUAUCCAUGUCUAAGACCAUACCAAAACCACAAGUUCAAUUUUCAUUCUAAAAAAUGUGUAUUCCUUGGCUAUAGUGAUUCACAUAAAGGAUAUAAGUGCCUAAACUCGACUGGUAGAAUGUAUGUCUCAAGACAUGUGGUGUUUAAUGAGAAAGAAUUUCCCUUCAAGUCUAGUUUCCUAAACACCCAUACUCAGGAAAAAUGCUCAGAAAUUGUUGUUAGCCCUCUUCCCUAUGAUAUUGAGUCAAGCCAGCAAAUAACCUCUCAAAAUGCAGUUGACACAAUCCAUCCUAAUGCAACACUUGCUGAAGACUCCAACAGAAGUGUGGAACAUGAAACUCAGACUGUGAUAAAUGAAAAUGAAAGCGGUACUGAUAUGAACCAAGUGACUUCUAUAGAGUUUGAUCAGGUCGUUGAUCAGCAAGAUGGUGCUAAUGGUGAUGAUCAAAAUGUAAUACAAAUUGCUGGGCAUCAUAAGAUCACAAGGAGUAAGGCUGGAAUCUUCAAACCAAAGGUGUAUAUAAAUCAAAUUCAAGACAAGAUGGUUGAAGUUGAGCUAUAGAAUACUGAUGAGGUUGAAGUUGAGCCACAGAAUACUGAUGAAGCUCUAUUAAGUAAUAAAUGGAGAAGAGCUAUGCAAGAAGAGUAUGAUGCCUUGAUGAAGAAUAGCACAUGGAAAUUGGUGCCACCAAAAUCAGAAAUGAAAAUAAUUGGAAACAAAUGGGUUUAUAAACUGAAAUAUGACUCAGAAGGCAAGGUAAAGAGGUAUAAAGCAAGGCUAGUUGCAAAAGGCUUUCUACAAAUACUUGGAGUGGACUUUAGUGAAACCUUUAGUCCAGUUAUCAAGGCAUCAACACUGAAAAUUAUAUUAACUCUUACUGUGUCAAGAGACUGGCAAAUCAGGCAAGUUGAUGUAAAUAAUGCCUUUCUAAAGGUAAGUUAGAAGAAAUUGUGUACAUGAAGCAACAACAAGGUUUUGAGGAUCAGAAAAAUCCUGAUUUUGUAUGCAAAUUGGAAAAGGCACUUUAUGGGCUUCGACAAGCACCAAGAGCUUGGCAUGAUAAGUUGAAGGAGACUUUGUUUGAGUGGAACUUCAGACAAUCCAAGGCAGAUAAUUCUUUGUUUUUCUCAAUGAAAGAAGACAAUAUCACAUUUGCAUUAGUUUAUGUAGAUGAUAUAGUGAUAACAGGAAACAAUGGUCAACAGUUGCAGAUGUUUAUUGAUAAACUAGAUGCUUGUUUUGCUCUUAAAGACAUGGGUAAUCUCAAUCAAUUCUUGGGUAUUAAAGUCUACAGAGAUGUCACAGGACUUUACCUAACUUAGAUAAAAUAUAUGGUUGACUUACUGAAGAAAUUUGACUAUGAAAACUUGAAACUAGUCCCAACUCCUAUGGCAGUAGGUAAACUGAUAUCUAAGGAUGAAGGGCAAGCCAUGAGUGAUCCUACUCUCUACAGGAGUGCAGUUGGUGGUCUUCAAUAUCUUGCACACACAAGACCUGACAUUGCCUAUUCUGUAAAUAAAAUGAGUCAAUUUCUUCAAGCCCCCACAGAUGCUCAUUGGAAGGCCCUCAAGAGAAUUUUUAGAUACUUAAAGGGUACACUAACACAUGGUUUAGUUAUCCGAAAAAAUGACAGUUUAGACAUCACAGCAUUUGCAGAUUCAAAUUGGGCAUCAUGUCCUGAUGAUAGAAGGUCUACACCUGGCUAUUGUGUGUAUCUUAGAGAUAGUUUGGUUUCUUGGUGUUCUAAGAAACAGCAUGUUGUUGCAAGGUCUAGCACAGAGGCGGAGUAUAGAGCGUUGGCUCACAGUGCAUCAGAAAUAGCUUGGAUUCAGUCCCUAAUGAAAGAGCUAAAUAUACCACACAACGCAAUCCCUAAAAUUUGGUGUGACAACUUGGGUGCAAGUGCACUAGCAUCAAAUCUAGUAUAUCAUGCUCAUACCAAACACAUAGAAUUAGAUGCCCACUUUGUGAGAGACAGUUUUGAAGAAGGAACUGGAAGUGCAGUUUGUCCCAUCCUCAGAUGAAAUUGCAGAUAUUUUAACAAAACCUCUUUCUCAUUCAAGAUUCAUAUUCUUUAGGGACAAGCUUGGAGUGGUUAAGACACACUCCAUCUUGAGAGGGGGUGUUAGGAUUGAUCGAAAAAGCUGAAUAUUUCCACUAUGUAAGCUGUUAAUAUUGUUAAUAGCUUUAACAAUAUAUUACAGUGUAUUUCCCCAAUUCAAGGGAUGUGUAUAUAGGUAGUUAGACACGUGUUAUCAGCUGAUAGGAAAAUCUGGAAUAUUCUGUGUGUAUGUAAAAUGUAUGUAUUACAAUUCUGUGAAUAAAUAGAGGAGAAAAUGAGGAGCUAUUGUACCGAGAAAACUUUUCCAAAAAUAUAGAGUUUAGUGAUUUUUUUUAACUUUUGGCAACCAAUGGAUCACAAUGUCCUAAGUUGCAUAUUCUUAGGUGGAAUUUGAUGAAUUGGGUGGACCCUUCACAGCAUGUCGGAAUCGUUCCGAAUGAGCAUCUAAGUACCUAUCACCAGGAUGGGGAUUCAGAUGUUAGGAAAUGCCAAAAUGGGAGAUUGUUAUGUCCAAAUUUGUAAGUAUGAUUUGUAAAUUUGUAAUUGGCAAUUUUCAUAUUCAAAAUUAAGAGUUAUCGGAUUGUAAUUGAAGUCAAAAUAUGAUUUACUGAGUUGUAAUUAUAGUCAAGAUAGUUUGGUGCUGGUAGAAUCAUAAAAGAAGUCGAAUAAAUUCAAGAAGAAUAUCAAGAAACGGACUUUAGGGAGUGGAUCA